GACGAACGCUGUCGGCGUGCUUAACACAUGCAAGUCGAACGGAAAGGCCCUGCUUUUGUGGGGUGCUCGAGUGGCGAACGGGUGAGUAACACGUGAGUAACCUGCCCUUGACUUUGGGAUAACUUCAGGAAACUGGGGCUAAUACCGGAUAGGAGCUCCUGCUGCAUGGUGGGGGUUGGAAAGUUUCGGCGGUUGGGGAUGGACUCGCGGCUUAUCAGCUUGUUGGUGGGGUAGUGGCUUACCAAGGCUUUGACGGGUAGCCGGCCUGAGAGGGUGACCGGCCACAUUGGGACUGAGAUACGGCCCAGACUCCUACGGGAGGCAGCAGUGGGGAAUAUUGCACAAUGGGCGGAGGCCUGAUGCAGCAACGCCGCGUGCGGGAUGACGGCCUUCGGGUUGUAAACCGCUUUCGCCUGUGACGAAGCGUGAGUGACGGUAAUGGGUAAAGAAGCACCGGCUAACUACGUGCCAGCAGCCGCGGUGAUACGUAGGGUGCGAGCGUUGUCCGGAUUUAUUGGGCGUAAAGGGCUCGUAGGUGGUUGAUCGCGUCGGAAGUGUAAUCUUGGGGCUUAACCCUGAGCGUGCUUUCGAUACGGGUUGACUUGAGGAAGGUAGGGGAGAAUGGAAUUCCUGGUGGAGCGGUGGAAUGCGCAGAUAUCAGGAGGAACACCAGUGGCGAAGGCGGUUCUCUGGGCCUUUCCUGACGCUGAGGAGCGAAAGCGUGGGGAGCGAACAGGCUUAGAUACCCUGGUAGUCCACGCUGUAAACGGUGGGUACUAGGUGUGGGGUCCAUUCCACGGGUUCCGUGCCGUAGCUAACGCUUUAAGUACCCCGCCUGGGGAGUACGGCCGCAAGGCUAAAACUCAAAGGAAUUGACGGGGCCCCGCACAAGCGGCGGAGCAUGCGGAUUAAUUCGAUGCAACGCGUAGAACCUUACCUGGGUUUGACAUGGAUCGGGAGUGCUCAGAGAUGGGUGUGCCUCUUUUGGGGUCGGUUCACAGGUGGUGCAUGGCUGUCGUCAGCUCGUGUCGUGAGAUGUUGGGUUAAGUCCCGCAACGAGCGCAACCCUUGUUCACUGUUGCCAGCACGUUAUGGUGGGGACUCAGUGGAGACCGCCGGGGUCAACUCGGAGGAAGGUGGGGAUGACGUCAAGUCAUCAUGCCCCUUAUGUCCAGGGCUUCACGCAUGCUACAAUGGCUGGUACAGAGAGUGGCGAGCCUGUGAGGGUGAGCGAAUCUCGGAAAGCCGGUCUCAGUUCGGAUUGGGGUCUGCAACUCGACCUCAUGAAGUCGGAGUCGCUAGUAAUCGCAGAUCAGCAACGCUGCGGUGAAUACGUUCCCGGG
rnacentral:rRNA from 1 species